rnacentral:rRNA from 1 species
GGUUGAUCCUGCCAGUAGUCAUAUGCUUGUCUCAAAGAUUAAGCCAUGCAUGUAUAAGUAUAAACAACUUUAUACUGCGAAACCGUAUAGCUCAUUAAAUUAGUAAUUAUUUAUUUGAUGGUACUUUUCUACAUGGAUACCCGUAGUAAUUCUAGAGCUAAUACAUGCACCAAAAUCCUGACGCAAGAAGGGAUGUAUUUAUUAGAUAAAAAACCAAUGGCCCUCUGGGUCUUUCUGGUGAUUCAUAGUAACUGAUCUAAUCGUGACGGCCUCGUGCUGACGAUAGUUCAUU